rnacentral:rRNA from 1 species
UACGAAGGGGGCUAGCGUUGUUCGGAAUUACUGGGCGUAAAGCGCGCGCAGGCGGUCUUCCAAGUCAGUGGUGAAAGCCCGGAGCUCAACUCCGGAACUGCCAUUGAAACUGUUAGACUUGAGGAUGAGAGAGGUGAGUGGAAUUCCCAGUGUAGAGGUGAAAUUCGUAGAUAUUGGGAAGAACACCGGUGGCGAAGGCGGCUCACUGGCUCGUAACUGACGCUCAAGCACGACAGCGUGGGGAUCAAACAG